rnacentral:rRNA from 1 species
UACGGGAGGCAGCAGUGGGGAAUAUUGCACAAUGGGCGAAAGCCUGAUGCAGCUAUGCCGCGUGUAUGAAGAAGGCCUUAGGGUUGUAAAGUACUUUCAUCGGGGAGGAAAAACAAAACUAAUAAUUUUAUUUCUUGACGUUACCCGAAAAAGAAGCACCGGCUAGCUCCGUGCCAGCAGCCGCGGUAAUACGGAGGGUGCUAGCGUUAAUCAGAAUUACUGGGCGUAAAGAGCACGUAGGUGGUUUUUUUAAGUCAGAUGUGAAAUCCCUGGGCUUAACCUAGGAACUGCAUUUUGAAACUGAAAUACUAGAGUAUCGUAGAGGGAGGUAGAAUUCUAGGUGUAGCGGUGAAAUGCGUAGAUAUCUGGAGGAAUACCUGUGGCGAAAGCGGCCUCCUAAACGAAUACUGACACUGAGGUGCGAAAGCGUGGGGAGCAAACAGGGAUUAGAUACC